UUAGGUGGCCAUGGCGACGGGGCCCACCCCUUACCAUUCCGAACAGGGAAGUUAAGCCCGUCAGCGCCGAUGGUACUGCCACACUAGGUGGGAGAGUAGGUCGCCGCCUUCC
rnacentral:rRNA from 1 species